AACGAACGCUGGCGGCGUGGAUUAGGCAUGCAAGUCGAACGCGAAAGAGGGAGCAAUCCCUCGAGUAGAGUGGCGAACGGGUGAGUAACGCGUGAAGAACCUGCCUUCAACAGGGGGAUAACACUCCCAACGGGGUGCUAAUACCGCAUGAGACCACGGGGUCGCAUGGCCCUGAGGUCAAAGGUGGCCUCUAUUUAUAAGCUACCGGUUGAAGAUGGCUUCGCGUCCCAUUAGCAGUUGGCGGUGUAAAAGACCACCAAGGCGACGAUGGGUAGCUGGUCUGAGAGGAUGGUCAGCCACACUGGGACUGAGAUACGGCCCAGACUCCUACGGGAGGCAGC
rnacentral:rRNA from 1 species